UCGGGGGGUGGGCUUGGGAUUAGAGUAUGGAGGAAAGGAAUAAGGCCCUCCUGGGUGGACUUGUGGAGCAAGCUACAAAAGAAUGACGUCCCCCCAGGGCCCGACUAUUUCGACACAGGGUCACUGGCGAGGGCUUGGAAGGGUUCAAAUACCUAGAAAAGCUCUAAGAGCAGGAAUGGAGCGCUUGGGAAAUACGAGGAGCUGAGUUGAGAAUUGGAGAUUGAACUAAAGGUAAAAGUUUUGGGAUUAUUGGUGGGUCGGUCAUGCUCCCAUCAGAUCUCAACGAUACAAAGGGCCUUUACCAGCAGGUGAGGUAUGUGUAAUCGUUAUUUCGCCCUCCAGAAAUUGGGAUUUCUCCCAACUCCCAAUGAUUCUGCCUAAGGAACUCCUCGAUAGGGCCGGCAAUAUUUGAUACGACGCGAUUACACGACACGGACACGACACGGAGUUAAACGGGUUUGGGUUUUGUAUUUUUGAUAUUCGGGUUAAACGGGUCCAACUCGUUUAGACACGAUUAAUAAACGUGUCUUAGCGGGUCGAACCCGUGUAACCCGAUUAUACACGAUUAAACCUGUUUAUUUAACCGUGUUUAAUCGUAUUACUAUAAUCGUGUAACCCAUUAACCCGUUUAUCUAACUGAAUUUACGAAAAUAUCCUUAGGUUAACCCUAAUUUCGAAAUUUCCAAAAGCAGUAGCCGCAGUACCCGAUUUCAACUUUCAGUCUUUCGCACGCCCCCCUUCAUCCUUCAUCUUCACAAUCACAAGUCGAAGUCGAUUUCCCUCCUUCUUGCAGAUCCAGCCUCCACCUGAGUCAAGAACUACUUCGAUCGUCUUCACAGUCCAGUCAAAGAUCUCUCGUCUUCGUUGCCUUUUGGCCGGAGGAGAACCUCACUGGAAGUAUCCUUCCCCUUCCGUCGCCGGAGCUUCGAUUGGAUCUCGAUCGGACACAGUUUCCGCUCUGAUCCUCUCCGUCACGUUCCUCAUCAUCAACAUACUCCUCAACAGCUUCGCCUCAGACACACCGAUGGUGUGAUUCAGUUUCCUCCGCCGCCGAUCCAUCCUUUUUCAACCGCCCCAACGCGUGCUGGAAUAAUUUCAUUUGAGCUAUUGAGAGAUAAGGAUUGAACUCCGAGGCUAUAGACUUGGCAGAUCUUGAGCCAUGACUAUGGUGGAGGACAGAGAGACCAGGGUCAGAUCAGCGGGCUCACUGUCUACUGAUUAUGCUACCAUAGUUCCCAUCAAGAAAUGGAGGUUCCCAAUUGUUCGACCUCCAUCACCUCCACCGGAUGAGUCAUGUCCAACACUGGAGUUUGAUGAAAAACGAAAGGAGAACACCUCUGCAUCUCAGGGAUCUGCUGUCUUAAACUCCUUAAUGAUUAAGUUGCCAGUGGAAUUGUCAAUGAACAUGUCGUGUUUGCAUAAUUCCGGAACUAAUUGUAUUGGUAAGAUCUUAAUUGUAUUGUUUGAAAUUUUGU